ACUCCUACGGGAGGCAGCAGUGGGGAAUAUUGCACAAUGGGCGCAAGCCUGAUGCAGCCAUGCCGCGUGUGUGAAGAAGGCCUUCGGGUUGUAAAGCACUUUCAGUUGUGAGGAAAGGUUAGUCGCUAAUAUCGGCUAGCGUGAUCGUAUGCAACAGAAGAAGCACCGGCUAACUCCGUGCCAGCAGCCGCGGUAAUACGGAGGGUGCGAGCGUUAAUCGGAAUUACUGGGCGUAAAGCGCGUGUAGGUGGCCUGUUAAGCCAGAUGUGAAAGCCC
rnacentral:rRNA from 1 species